rnacentral:rRNA from 1 species
AUUGAACGCUGGCGGCAGGCCUAACACAUGCAAGUCGAGCGCGAAAGUUCUUCGGAAUGAGUAAAGCGGCGGACGGGUGAGUAAUACAUGGGAAUCUGCCUGGUAGUGGGGGACAACGUUUCGAAAGGAACGCUGAUACCGCAUACGCCCUACGGGGGAAAGGGGGGGAUCUUCGGACCUCUCGCUAUCAGAUGAGCCCA